AUCCGUAAAUGACGGUACCUUACCAGAAAGCCACGGCUAACUACGUGCCAGCAGCCGCGGUAAUACGUAGGUGGCGAGCGUUAUCCGGAAUUAUUGGGCGUAAAGGGUGCGUAGGCGGCCUGUUAAGUUUAAGGUUAAAGCGUGGGGCUCAACCCCAUCACGCCUUAGAUACUGGCAGGCUAGAGUACUGGAGAGGGAAGUGGAAUUCCAUGUGUAGCGGUAAAAUGCGUAGAUAUAUGGAGGACCCCCAGAGGCGAAGGCGGCUUCCUAGACAGAGACUGACGCUCAGGCACGAAAGCGUGGGGAGCAAAUAGGAUUAGAUACCCUAGUAGUCCACGCCGUAAACGAUGAAUGCUAGGUAUCGGGGUGACUCGGUGCCGCAACUAACGCGAUAAGCAUUCCGCCUGUGGAGUAUGCACGCAAGUGUGAAACAUAAAGGAAUUGACGGGGGCCCGCACAAGCGGUGGAGUAUGUGGUUUAAUUCGACGCAACGCGAAGAACCUUACCAGCCCUUGACAUCCCUUGCGAAGUGCUAGAGAUAGUACAGAGGUUAUCAAGGUGACAGGUGGUGCAUGGUUGUCGUCAGCUCGUGUCGUGAGAUGUUGGGUUAAGUCCCGCAACGAGCGCAACCCUUGUCUUCAGUUACCAAUAUUAAGUUAGGGACUCUGGAGAGACUGCCGGUGAUAAACCGGAGGAAGGUGGGGAUGACGUCAAAUCAUCAUGCCCCUUAUGGCCUGGGCUACACACGUACUACAAUGGCUGUUACAACGAGCAGCGACAUGGCGACAUGAAGCGAAUCUCUGAAAGACAGUCUCAGUUCGGAUUGGAGUCUGCAACUCGACUCCAUGAAGUUGGAAUCGAUAGUAAUCGCGGAUCAGCAUGCCGCGGUGAA
rnacentral:rRNA from 1 species